rnacentral:rRNA from 1 species
UGGGGAAUAUUGCACAAUGGGCGAAAGCCUGAUGCAGCAACGCCGCGUGAGCGAUGAAGGCCUUUGGGUCGUAAAGCUCUGUCCUAGGGGAAGAAUAAAUGACGGUACCCUUGGAGGAAGCCCCGGCUAACUACGUGCCAGCAGCAGCGGUAAUACGUAGGGGGCAAGCGUUAUCCGGAAUUAUUGGGCGUAAAGAGUGCGUAGGUGGUUUUGUAAGCGCGGGGUGAAAGGCAAUAGCUCAACUAUUGUAAGCCCUGCGAACUGUGAGACUUGAGUGCAGGAGAGGACAGCGUAAUUCCUAGUGUAGCGGUGAAAUGCGUAGAUAUUAGGAGGAACACCAGUGGCGAAGGCGGCUUUCUGGACUGUAACUGACACUGAGGCACGAAAGCGUGGGGAGCAAACA